UUGCCGGCCACGUAAUAGGAUACUUAGCGAAUACGUUGUUCGGAGUAUUGGUCGAGCAUUUCGCGGAACAGUAUACCAGAGAUAUACAACAAAUACGUGAAAACGAAGAAUAUUUAAACAUCUUGUGGAAAAAUCAAACCUCGAUUAUAGAAUCAGAAUAUAAUUUACUCAAUCGAACAGAGGAUAUGUUUAGUAAACAACACAAAACCAUUAAUAAACAUUUAAACAGUGUAGAAAAGGCUAUUCAAACUAUGCAAAGCGAAACCAAUGAAAUUUCACUCUCGGAAGAUCUUACAUUGAUCGUCUUGACUGCUCAACAAAUGUUAAAAACCUUAACAGAUAUUCAACGAACACUCCUGGACACAGUGACGGAUAUAUCAAGGUCACUUCAACGUGCAUUUGUUGACAUUCAAACAACUACAGGCCGAACUCCUUACUAUCUCUGGGUUAUUAAUAGCUGACGUCACACUCCCUAUUCCUAAUCUUCAAGCAAAUGUGAGAGAAAUUAAUAAAUGACUACGAGUUAAAGCAAGAAUGACUAAAGACUUAUUCAUAUUUGAAAUAAAAAUUCCAUUAAUAAUUGUCCCACUUA